rnacentral:misc_RNA from 1 species
CUUAAAUUACUAAUGUUCUAAAUGGAGAAUGUGAUUUGUUCACCUUCUCCAUUACUAAAAACUAACAUCAACGAAACCUACAUCUUCAAAAUGCUAAACCUAAGACCUAGACUUAAAUCCAACAACUUCCAAAUAUCCCUAAUACACAUAACCACACAGGCUACAUUUCUAGACCUAAUCAAUCAAUUCAAAUCUACCAACUACACAAAAAACAAAUUUAUCACUAUAAUCCUAAAACACUUUCAUUAAGCACUAAUCACCUUUUCAAAGAAAAAAUAAUUUCUCUGCCACAAUGUAUAUAACCAAACGCAAUGCAAAGUAUUUCCACUUUCUUCCUUUUCUUCUUGCAGCUUCAACAUCACAAUCAUGCCUCUCAAUCCUUCUCAGUAGACUCCAUAAUUCCUGCAGCCAUGAAAACACCUCAGGAUUAUAAUCAGUCCAAUAAAUUCACAAAUAAGCUUGAAGAUUGCAUAUUCAUCUCAAUCUUAGUAUACUCUCUAUAUAUCUUGUGACAUCAUCUCUCGGCCAAAGCAAAUCUUAGGUUUAGUUUUCUUCUUUUUUUUUCAAUAAAAUGACAUUUUUUGAGUGAGAAGAAUUUUAAUAAGAAAAUGAAGUUACUAGCUUUGAAAAGAAGGAAAUGAUUAUUCUCAAG